ACCAGGGCAAUUUGGUGACUUUGGAGACAUUUUGUUGUCCCAGCUAGGGCUGGGGAGUGCUACUGGCGUGCAGUGGGUAAAGGCCAGUGCACAGGACAGCUCCCACAGCACAGAAUUAUACGGGGGCUGCCGAGCAAAAAUCAGACAUUCAAGGGAGCCAGGAUUUGAGUGGGAUCACCCUGAAUUAUUGUGAAGAAGAAGAUCCAGAGAAGAGAAACUAGCCAGACUCUGAGACCAGAUCUGGAGGAGGGAAAAGGCAGGGAGGCAGAGAAACAUCCUUUUUUAAAAAUUAUUUUUAUUGUUUUAGAAAGAGAGAGCAUGAGCAGAGGGGCAGAGAGACAGAGAGACAGAGACAGAGAAUCUCAAACAGGCUCCAUGUUCAGUGUGGAGCCCGACUCAGGGCUCGAUCCCACAACCCAGUUGGUCGAGUCUGGUGGUCUGAUCCCAGACUCUGUUGCUUGAGUCUGAUGCUCAACCAGCUGAGCCACCCAGGUGCUCCGGCAGAGAAAGAUCCUCAAGGCAACAUACCCGCCCCAUUCAAACUACCCCCAGAAAUUCCAAACUCCUUUGAAAGGAGUAGGAAUGAAAAUGUCUUUGAAAGGAGUAGUGCAAGAAAUGAAAAACGAGGAGAGCCCAAGAAUGGGGAAGUCAUUCUUGGCUGUGACAUCACAGGCGGGGCACCAGGAAGGGUGUGAACAACUGCAGCCUGGCUCUUACCUCUGAGGACUGGAACCCCUGGUGGGUCUCUGCCUGUCUCCACCAUGGGCUCCAGCCUCCUCUGCUGUGUGGUCCUCUGCCUCCUGGGAGCAGCCCCCCUGGACACAGCAGUUUCCCAGACUCCCAAAUACCUCAUCGCACAGAUGGGAACUGAGAAGUUCCUACAAUGUGAACAAAAGCUGAGCCAUGAUGCUAUGUACUGGUAUAAGCAGGAUUCCAAGAAAUUGCUGAAGAUCAUGUUUGCCUACAAUAAUAAGGAACUCAUUCACAAUGAAACAGUUCCAAGUCGUUUCUCACCUAAAUCUCCUGACAAAGCUCGUUUAAACCUUCGUGUCAGCGCCCUGGAGACAGGUGACUCUGCCGUGUAUCUCUGUGCCAGCAGCCAACACAGCGUUGCAGAAUCACUGCCUCCCUGUGCACAAACCCCCUGGCCCAGCCAGGAAGCUGCGGAAGGGGCUAUGUCUUGAC